rnacentral:tRNA from 1 species
AUAUAGAUAACUUAAAUUUAAAGUAUUACUCUGAAAAAGUAAAAAUAAUAUAUUUAUAUAUUUCUAUAUA